rnacentral:lncRNA from 1 species
CAGGGGUUAUACUGUUUUGAGUAAGUUUCCUAAAAUGAUUCCGCAAACUGAUCCCAGGUUCUGAAUUUCCUGGUGUCAAGGGUCUCUGGAAUGUGUUACUGCAUUGAAAGAGCCCCAUCUCUAGAGCACCCUUGCAUGGAGUGGUUUAUCAUUCUACCCUGUGGUGACCCACACAGCUACCUGUGGUUCCUGAGCUCAGAGGUGGCAGUGGGGUCCCAUGCUGCGCUGGGGUUCUGCCCGAGGGCCUGUGUCUGUUCCCUUGAAAUCGGGUUCAGAAGCCACACAGCUGGGUUUCCAGGAGUGCCUGAGUGUCUAUCUCUUCCUCUUCCUCUGCUUUUCUUUUUGCCCUGUGAAUCAGUGGGAAAUCCCCCUAGAAUCUCCAGACCAGUGGCCCUGUGUCUGAGCUGUAGAUGCGGGUCAGAGAUAAUGGUAGGUUCAGUGCAGGGCCUGGCAAUUCCCGGGCCAGAGGGUUUCCUAAACAUCACUCCAGGCCUUAAGAUCCUUAAUUAAGCCACCAGAGGCCCAGAAGACAUGGCAGUUUUCCCUGAGCUCUCUACACUGAAGCUGUAACUACACUUCUGCUUCUGCCUGGGGACGCAUUCCUUUGCUAGUCCUGAAGGCAGUGUUGUGGGCAGCCUGCAACUGGGGAUACACCGGAGCUUACAUUCUGUUGGAGCAAGACAGGUAACAAGAUCUUGCCAUGUAGGUUAGGCUGACCUUGAACUCACAGUCCUUCUGCAUCAACAUCCGCCUGUAGAGUGCUGG